AUUGAACGCUGGCGGCAGGCCUAACACAUGCAAGUCGAGCGAGCGGCGGACGGGUGAGUAAUGUCUGGGAAACUGCCUGAUGGAGGGGGAUAACUACUGGAAACGGUAGCUAAUACCGCAUACCAUCAGAUGUGCCCAGAUGGGAUUAGCUAGGAGGUGGGGUAACGGCUCACCUAGGCGACGAUCCCUAGCUGGUCGGAGAGGAUGACCAGCCACACUGGAACUGAGACACGGUCCAGACGCCUAGGGGAGGAAGCGGGGGGGAAGAUUGGACAAGGGGCGAAAGCCUGAUGCAGCCAGGCCGCGGGUGGGAAGAAGGCCUUCGGGUUGUAAAGCACUUUCAGCGGGGAGGCGUUACCCGCAGAAGAAGCACCGGCUAACUCCGUGCCAGCAGCCGCGGUAAUUC
rnacentral:rRNA from 1 species